rnacentral:rRNA from 1 species
GAUGAACGCUGGCGGCGUGCCUAAUACAUGCAAGUCGAGCGAACAGACGAGGAGCUUGCUCCUCUGACGUUAGCGGCGGACGGGUGAGUAACACGUGGAUAACAUACCUAUAAGACUGGGAUAACUUCGGGAAACCGGAGCUAAUACCGGAUAAAAUAUUGAACCGCAUGGUUCAAUAGUGAAAGACGGUUUUACUGUCACUUAUAGAUGGAUCCGCGCCGCAUUAGCUAGUUGGUAAGGUAACGGCUUACCAAGGCAACGAUGCGUAGCCGACCUGAGAGGGUGAUCGGCCACACUGGAACUGAGACACGGUCCAGACUCCUACGGGAGGCAGCAGUAGGGAAUCUUCCGCAAUGGGCGAAAGCCUGACGGAGCAACGCCGCGUGAGUGAUGAAGGUUUUCGGAUCGUAAAACUCUGUUAUUAGGGAAGAACAAAUGUGUAAGUAACUAUGCACGUCUUGACGGUACCUAAUCAGAAAGCCACGGCUAACUACGUG